GUGGUCUGCGUCACACAACUUGACUCGGCGAGUGUCGGCGGUAAACCGCGAGCGAUCGCUCCCUCCCUACCCAGAUCCAACCCAAUUAAUACACAUUGCAUUGAACCUGCGAGCCGAGGCAGUGACCGAAUACCGCCGAGUCAGCACAUACGGCUUUACUGGACCGAGAGUAGGAUGGGAAUAAGGGAAGCCAAGGAAAAAACUUUUAUGAUGGAAAGUGCAAAAGAAAUGUGAAUUUAUUUCAUUUCUACAAACAAUUGGAUUAUUGUAUUCUGUGAUUGUGUUUUAAGAAAAGAUAUGUCGUAUUUUUCGUUAUGUGAGGCGCGGGUAUGAUAUGCCACGGAGUAACACCUUAUCAGGAUAUCAAUUAAUAUCUACACACUUGGAGGUAGGUAGUGGGUAAUUUCAAGGAUUUCGACACUCUACGAGGAGAUUUUCAUACCUCACUGGGAUUAUAUGCAGUACGAGUAACCCGGGUAUAUUGGUGAAGUGCGCGGCGGCCGCGACGUUGUGCUGUGAGUGUGACUCAAGGAAGAUAUAUGCUUGACGUCCAGUGACAGGCGGGCAAAACUGACAGGAUUUCUUAAGCGUUUUCCACAGAUUAUCUGCGCAGAUUAACGGAUUAAAAUGUCUGGUGUAGGGAUUCUACUGGUGCUAUCUUUGGGAUGCUUCCUCGGGACAUGGGGACAGAUGUGGGAAUGGGGGCCCGACCUGGAAGGACCCUGGUGUGCAAAGCGUCGGGGGCAGCAAUGCUGUGACGACCGGGACGACUACUGUUCCGUCCCCAUCCUCGGCACCGAGUGCUACUGCGACGUCUUCUGUAACUCCACGGCCUACGACUGCUGCCCCGACUACUGGGAGCACUGUCAUGGAGUAGUGAGAGAGAGAACCACGCCGCUCCCCAUCAUCUAUACCACACCCCGGAUACCCGUAACGACAAAUAACUGUAUAAAGAAUGGCGUGCUGUACCAACCUGGUCAGACAUACAAGGAGAACUGCAACGAGUGCAAGUGCGAGGUGUUCUCCGGGCCACCCAGGAGGUUUGACUGGCGCUGCAGCCAGAGUGUGUGUUUGAUCAGACCGGAACUCAUCCGCGCAGUGAAUGAUGGGCGAUACGGAUGGACAGCUAGCAACUACUCGGCGCUGUGGGGGAUGACGUUACCUGAUGGCAUCAAAUACCGCCUAGGGACGUUCCCGCUAGACUCGAACGUUGUGCGCAUGACGCCACUCAAAGUGAGGCUGGACGAAGUUCUUCCGGAAGCAUUCGACUCCAGCCAGAAAUGGCCUGAAGUCAUCGGCCCGAUAAGAGACCAGGGAAACUGCGGUGCAUCAUGGGCCUUUUCAACAACAGCCGUAGCAUCCGACCGCCUGGGUAUCGAGUUUAUGGGUGACUACAAGGAGGAGCUCUCCCCUCAACACAUUCUGUCUUGUAACAGCGACAAGCAGGAGGGUUGUGCCGGGGGUUUCCUGGACCGAGCCUGGUACUACCUCAGGCGGAGAGGGCUUGUGACAGAGGAAUGUUACCCCUACUCCAGCGGAAGGACCAGCACUAUCGGCGAAUGUCUGGUCGCACCCCGGAAGCGCCAGGGCAACUGCCCCAGCGGCAUCGAGUUUCGCAUGGAGAAGCGCUACAAGACCACGCCCCCCUACAGGAUACGUCCUCUGGAGAGGGAAAUCAUGAAAGAAAUUAUGGACAACGGACCAGUCCAAGCCACAUUCACCGUGAAAGAGGAUUUUUACAUGUACAAGGGAGGCGUAUACCGCUACAGUGAGAUCACCCGUGGUGAGGCCAGCGAAUCCAGUCGAAUAGGGUACCACUCAGUGAGGAUUCUCGGAUGGGGCGUCGAGCGUACAUUUCAAGGCGAUAUCGUCAAGUACUGGCUGUGCGCCAAUUCAUGGGGCACCGACUGGGGUGAGAACGGCUAUUUCCGUAUCGUUCGUGGUGAGAACGAAUGUGAGAUCGAGGCUUACAUCGUAGGGGCUUUCGGGAAGGACAACCGGCGGCGCAGACUCAUCAACCAGAGGAGACUGAAUCGCAUCCGGGACGGCCGGAAGUUCCGGAGCCUGAAUCUCAGACGUCGGCGCAGGCGCAGGAAAAACAAGAACAAAAACAAGGACAACAGACGCCGAUUUAAGAAAUCACAUAAAUCUGUAAAGAAAUUAUAGAAAUAUGUAUUAGGAUUUAUGAAAUAAUACUAUUGUACAUGCAUUUAUACGAUAUUGUAGCUAUGUGUGCAUUUGUAAGAGCAGUGUUAAAUUGUUUAAAGUGUAACCUCGCAUAACAGUACUUAUCCCAUCUGCGGCGAGCUGUUCAUCAUUAAGCAACAUUUGCGUACGAAGAAUAUGUUAUGUUGGUUUAUAUAUAUGAUUGUAUAUUCUAUCUUCUAUUGAUCUUGUGUAACAGUGUUAGACUAUAUUCUAUCAAUUUGUUACGAGGUGGUGUCAAACUGAAAUGCAGAGGUUAACCCAGAAAUCGGUGCGCACUGAAUUGAGACACAAAUAAAUGACCACAAGAUCAAUAAAUUAUAAAUAAAUUAU
rnacentral:misc_RNA from 1 species